rnacentral:lncRNA from 1 species
AUGAGAGAGGCCGAUAAGCAUCUGUUUUUAUUCAUUUGGUGCAGUGACUCUGAAGAAGGAAGGGGGGCGGUGAGGUGUUUGUUUGGGACAUGCAGCCAUGAUACGGCACAGCCACCAUACCUGAGAUUCAAAGUCUUUGUCUCAGUGCAACCAAGUCUGCUUGAGGAACAGAGACGCGGAGUCUUUGUGCUGGGAGAGGGACUUGGGGCCACUGCCCCACAGCACUCCACCUGCCAGCUGUUCCCCGCAGCCUGCAGGAGCCUGUCAGCACACUCGAACCUAUCAGAGCCAUCGCUCGCCGGCCCACACAAUAGACCAGUUUACUAAAACUGAAGCUGUCUCCCCUCUUAAGUGACUAUAGGAAGAAAGCUGUGGCUACUGUUCCGGUUCCUUAUGGGUAAUUUUUAAAUAACUAGCUUGGGGGAAUUUACUAUUAAAUAACUAUUUUGUGAAAUUCAAGGCUUUACACACGCACACACACAAACAUAUACAUAUAUAUAUAUAUAUAUAUAUAUAUAUAUAUAUAUAUAUAUAUAUAUAUAUAUAUAUAUAUAUAUAUAUAUAUAUAAUUCAUAAUUUCAAAAUAGUUUCAUAAUUCAAUAAAACCUCAAUCUGUGAUCUAUUCCUUGGUCAAUAAUGUCCAACAGACUUUACAAUAUGUGCAUAUACAGGCUUUCAAAAACAAACCAACCUUGAGAAUUAUUCCCUGGAGUAAAAAGUGAAACAUUUCCUUUUUUCUUUUUCUUUUUCUUUUUUUUUUUAUUGAUUGUUGUAAUCAUCUAUGUUUCUGUGUUGAUUCUUUUGAGCUGUAUCUGUGUGAAAGCACAAGGUAUUGCAUUAAGGCUUUUGCUUUUCCCUUUACUGAUGGAAAAUAGUGGCUUUUGUUCCUGGCCAUGCCUUGAAAUUCAAUGAAUGGUUUCUGCUUAGGCCACUGAUUAAAAUACACAAUCAUCCAUCUCUUUAUUCAUGGAAUCAAUUUCAGACCAUUUUCACAUUAGUUUCUACAUCAAUAACUGAAACAGACAGAGUAAACCCUCAGAA